rnacentral:rRNA from 1 species
AGCGAACGCUGGCGGCAGGCUUAACACAUGCAAGUCGAGCGGGCAUCCUUGUGGUGUCAGCGGCAGACGGGUGAGUAACGCGUGGGAACGUGCCCUUCGGUUCGGAAUAACUCAGGGAAACUUGAGCUAAUACCGGAUACGUGCGAGAGCAGAAAGGUUUAUCUGCCGAAGGAUCGGCCCGCGUCUGAUUAGCUAGUUGGUGAGGUUAUGGCUCACCAAGGCGACGAUCAGUAGCUGGUCUGAGAGGAUGAUCAGCCACACUGGGACUGAGACACGGCCCAGACUCCUACGGGAGGCAGCAGUGGGGAAUAUUGGACAAUGGGGGCAACCCUGAUCCAGCCAUGCCGCGUGAGUGAUGACGGCCUUAGGGUUGUAAAGCUCUUUUCUUCGGGACGAUAAUGACAGUACCGGAGGAAUAAGCCCCGGCUAACUUCGUG